CACGUAGGGGGCAAGCGUUGUCCGGAUUUAUUGGGCGUAAAGAGCGUGUAGGCGGUUUGGUAGGUCCGCUGUGAAAACUCGAGGCUCAACCUCGAGACGCCGGUGGAAACCAUCAGACUAGAGUCCGGAAGAGGAGAGUGGAAUUCCUGGUGUAGCGGUGAAAUGCGCAGAUAUCAGGAAGAACACCCGUGGCUAAGGCGGCUCUCUAGUACGGUACUGACGCUGAGACGCGAAAGCGUGGGGAGCGAACAGG
rnacentral:rRNA from 1 species